CGGACGGGUGAGUAACGCGUGGGUAACCUGCCGUAUACUGGGGGAUAACACUUAGAAAUAGGUGCUAAUACCGCAUAAGCGCACAGCUUCGCAUGAAGUGGUGUGAAAAACUCUGGUGGUAUACGAUGGUUCCGCGUCUGAUUAGCUUGUUGGUGGGGUAAUGGCUCACCAAGGCGACGAUCAGUAGCCGGCCUGAGAGGGUGAACGGCCACAUUGGGACUGAGACACGGCCCAAACUCCUACGGGAGGCAGCAG
rnacentral:rRNA from 1 species